rnacentral:rRNA from 1 species
UACGUAGGGGGCUAGCGUUGUCCGGAAUCAUUGGGCGUAAAGCGCGUGUAGGCGGUCCGGUAAGUCCGCUGUGAAAGUCGAGGGCUCAACCCUCGAAUGCCGGUGGAUACUGUCGGGCUAGAGUGCGGAAGAGGCGAGUGGAAUUCCUGGUGUAGCGGUGAAAUGCGCAGAUAUCAGGAGGAACACCUAUUGCGAAGGCAGCCCGCUGGGACGUUACUGACGCUGAGACGCGAAAGCGUGGGGAGCAAACAGG